CCAUAAAUUGUUAUAAUAUUAUAGUUUCUUUAUUUGCCUUUUAAAAAUACAGAAAAAAACCAAAACUCAAAACCCAAAUUUUGACCACCGAUCUGCAAAAAGUGAAGCUUGGACAAGCUAUUUGAGGAAAUUGAAGCAUGGAAAGUCAUCCCCUUUCUCCACCGACAACAAAAGCACACAAAAAACAACAACUAAAACAAAAAAAAACAAACAAACACCCAGAAAACACACGUUUUUGGUUUCGAUCUAGAAGCUCCUCCAAAAUCAGAAGGCACGAAGGCCUUGGGUUCUCCGUAGACGAAGAGUGAGCUUCUACGGUGGCGGGCGCCAGACCAAUUUGUUCUUAGAAGAGAGUGCAGAGCAACCAAAGAGUGUGAUGGUGGUGGUGGAGAUAACAUUGAUAGAAAUUAUAAAAAAUACGGAAAAUUUUCAUCUCUACAAACUUGUUAUUUCAUUCUUCUUUGUUUGUUUCACAGUGAUGAGCAGAGUGGUGGCGCCUGGUGGUGG
rnacentral:lncRNA from 1 species